UCCGGUUUAUCACCGGCAGUCUCUCUAGAGUCCCCGACUUUACUCGCUGGUAACUAAAGAUAAGGGUUGCGCUCGUUACGGGACUUAACCCAACAUCUCACAACACGAGCUGACGACAGCCAUGCAGCACCUGUCUCCUCAUUCCCGAAGGCACUCCCGUAUCUCUACAGGAUUCGAGGGAUGUCAAGAGUAGGUAAGGUUCUUCGCGUUGCAUCGAAUUAAACCACAUGCUCCACCGCUUGUGCGGGCCCCCGUCAAUUCCUUUGAGUUUUAACCUUGCGGCCGUACUCCCCAGGCGGAGAACUUAGCGCGUUAGCUACGCCACUAAAAGAGUUUCCUCUCCCAACAGCUAGUUCUCAUCGUUUACAGCGUGGACUAC
rnacentral:misc_RNA from 1 species